GAUAAACGCUGGCGGCGUGCAUGAGACAUGCGAGUCGAACGAAGGAUCGGGCUUGCUCGAUCCUUAGUGGCGGACGGCUGAGUAACGCGUAGGUGACCUACCCCGAAGUGGGGAAUAACUGCCCGAAAGGGUGGCUAAUACCGCAUGUGGUCCACGUUCAUUCGUGCGAGUAAAGCCGCAAGGCGCUUCGGGAGGGGCCUGCGUCCGAUUAGCUCGUUGGUGGGGUAAUGGCUUACCAAGGCGACGAUCGGUAGGUGGUCUGAGAGGACGAUCACCCAGACUGGGACUGAGACACGGCCCAGACUCCUACGGGAGGCAGCAGUCGGGAAUUUUGCUCAAUGGGGGAAACCCUGAAGCAGCAACGCCGCGUGAGGGAUGAAGGCCUUCGGGUUGUAAACCUCUUUUGUCAGGGACGAUGAUGACGGUACCUGGCGAAUAAGCCACGGCUAACUACGUG
rnacentral:rRNA from 1 species